UGACGCCCUGGAGAUCUUUGAUUUGAUCCGUACCAUCAAGGAUCCGGAGCACCCCAAUACUCUCGAGCAGCUGAAGGUCACGGAACUCAAGGGCGUGUCUGUGGACGAUGUCAACAGCCGCAUCGACAUCAUGUUCACCCCGACAAUUCCUCACUGCU
rnacentral:SRP_RNA from 1 species